GACGAACGCUGGCGGCGUGCCUAACACAUGCAAGUCGAACGGAGUGUUUAUUUAUAAACACUUUGUGGCGAACGGGUGAGUAACGCGUAGACAACCUACCCUCUAGAUGGGGACAACACCGCGAAAGUGGUGCUAAUACAGAAUGUUGUAAUGUUAUUGCAUAAUGAUAUUACUAAAGGUGGCCUCUAUAUAUAAGCUACCGCUAGAAGAUGGGUCUGCGUCUGAUUAGCUAGUUGGUGAGAUAACAGCUCACCAAGUCAAUGAUCAGUAGCCGGUCUGAGAGGAUGAACGGCCACACUGGGACUGAGACACGGCCCAGACUCCUACGGGAGUCAGCAGUGGGGAAUCUUCCGCAAUUGACGAAAGUCUGACGGAGCAACGCCGUGUGAGUGAAGAAGGUUUUCGGAUCGUAAAGCUCUGUCUUCAAGGACGAAUGUAGAUAUUGUGAAUAAUGAUAUUUAAUGACGGUACUUGAGGAGGAAGCCACGGCUAACUACGUGCCAGCAGCCGCAGUAA
rnacentral:rRNA from 1 species